GUUAAAAAGCUCGUAGUUGGAUUUCUGUCGAGGGCGGGCGGUCCGCACUAUGUGCGUGUAUCUUGUUCGGUCUUGGCAUCCUCUUGGGGAAUGCUUCUGUGCUUGAUUGCAUGGGGUGGAAUUCAAGACUUUUACUUUGAGGAAAUUAGAGUGUUCACGGCAAGCUACCGCUUUGAAUACAUUAGCAUGGAAUAAUAAUAUAGGGCGUAAGUUCUAUUUUGUUGGUUUCUAGGACAUACGCAAUGAUUAAUAGGGACAAUUGGGGGCAUUCGUAUUAACGCGUCAGAGGUGGAAUUCUUAGGUUGCGUUACGACGAACUACUGCGAAAGCAUUUGCCAAAGAUGUUUUCAUUGAUCAAGAACGAAAGUAUGGGGAUCGAAGACGAUUAGAUACCGUCGUAGUCUAUACCAUAAACUAUGCCAAUUAGAGAUUGGGCGUCGUUCGUUUUAUGACUCGCUCAGCCACCUUAUGAGAAAUCAAAAUUUUUGGGUU
rnacentral:rRNA from 1 species